AAUAAAGUGCCUGAUUUAAAGGAUUAUUUUGAUAGGAUAAAUUAAGUAGUUUUUUUACCUUUAUUA
rnacentral:tRNA from 1 species